GCAAGUCGAGGGGUAACAUUGGAGCUUGCUUCAGAUGACGACCGGCGCACGGGUGCGUAACGCGUAUAGAAUCUACCUUACACUAAGGGAUAGCCUUUGGAAACGAAGAUUAAUACCUUAUAGUAUGAUGACUUGGCAUCAAGAUAUCAUUAAAGAUUACGGUGUAAGAUGACUAUGCGUUCUAUUAGCUAGAUGGUAAGGUAACGGCUUACCAUGGCAACGAUAGAUAGGGGCCCUGAGAGGGGGAUC
rnacentral:rRNA from 1 species